rnacentral:lncRNA from 1 species
GUUAAACAUUGAGGAGACAGAGAGGAGUCACAGUCCAGACGACCAACAGGUUAAACAUUGAGGAGACAGAGAGGAGUCACAGACCAGACGACCAACAGGUUAAACAUUGAGGAGACAGAGAGGAGUCACAGACCAGGUGACCAACAGGUUAAACAUUGAGGAGACAGAGAGGAGUCACAGUCCAGACGACCAACAGGUUAAACAUUGAGGAGACAGAGAGGAAUCACAGUCCAGACGACCAACAGGUUAAACAUUGAGGAGACAGAGAGGAGUCACAGUCCAGACGACCAACAGGUUAAACAUUGAAGAGACAGAGAGGAGUCACAGACCAGGCGACCAACAGGUUAAAACAUUGAAGCGACAGAGAGGAGUCACAGUCCAGACGACCAACAGGUUAAACAUUGAGGAGACAGAGAGGAGUCACAGUCCAGACGACCAACAGGUUAAAACAUUGAGGAGACAAAGAGGAGUCACAGACCAGACGACCAACAGGUUAAACAUUGAGGAG